rnacentral:rRNA from 1 species
AUUGAACGCUGGCGGCAGGCCUAACACAUGCAAGUCGAGCGAGCGGCGGACGGGUGAGUAAUUUCUUGGAACCUGCCUGAUGGAGGGGGAUAACUACUGGAAACGGUAGCUAAUACCGCAUACCAUCAGAUGUGCCCAGAUGGGAUUGGCUAGUAGUUGGGGUAACGGCUCACCUAGGCGACGAUCCCUCGCUGGUCUGAGAGGUUGACGAGCCACACUGGAACUGAGACAAGGUCCAGAUGCCUACGGGAGGCAGAAGUGGGGAAUAUGGCACAAGGGGCGCAAGCCUGAUGCAGCCAGGCGGCGUGUGUGAAGAAGGCGUCCGGGUUGUAAAGUACGUUCAGCGGGGAGGCGUUACCCGCAGAAGAAGCACCGGCUAACUCCGUGCCAGCAGCCGCGGUAAUAC